AGGCAUUUGACUCUGGCGAUCUUCAUGAUGCGAGCUUGAUGACGUCGUCAUCCAUUCUUUCUCCUAACUUGCUCCUCCUCCCCUGCAGUUGCAGGCAUGGAGCUUCUUCGCUGAAGAGGCUCCAAACCCUAGCCCCCACCAUCUCCCCGAGAAGGCUCUCCUCUCUCCUACUGACCAUGAAGAGGCCGAGACGAGCACCACCACCAUCGCCACCGUCCACUCCUCCGACCCCUCAAACCAUCCACCGCCUCCACCACCACCGCCGCCGCCGCUGCUGCGAAAAACCCGUCUCGAUGCGCCAAUCCCUCGCGGCCGAAUCCCCGGAGUGGGUCCCGCUCGACCUCGCCGAGUCCGAGCUCUCCUUGCCCCUCACCUUCCCCACCGGCCAAACCUUCAGGUGGAAGCGCACCGGCCCCCUCCGGUUCACCGGCGCGGUCGGCCCCCACCUCGUCUCCCUAAAGCACCUGGAGGGCGGCGGCGGCGUCGCGUACUGCGUGCACGGCAAUCGGCCCGACGGCGCGGGGGCUCGGUCGGCGGUGCUGGAUUUCCUCAACGCCGACAUCCGGCUGGGUGAGAUCUGGGAGGUGUUCUCGGCCUCGGAUUCGAGGUUCGCCGAGCUGGCGAGGCUCCUGCGCGGUGCUCGCGUGCUGAGGCAGGAUCCUCUGGAGUGCUUGAUUCAGUUUCUCUGCUCGUCGAAUAACAACAUCGCGAGGAUCACCAAAAUGGUGGAUUUCGUUUCGUCCUUGGGGAGGCAUCUGGGGUCUGUGAAGGGUUUGGAGUUCUAUGAGUUCCCGUCGCUAGAGCGGCUCUUGGCCGUCUCGGAGAAAGAAUUCAGGGAGGCUGGUUUCGGUUACAGGGCCAAGUAUAUUGUGGGCACCGUUAAGACUUUGCAGUCAAAACCUGGCGGAGGUGUGGAGUGGCUUACAUCCCUGCGUGGAUUGGAUCUACAGGAUGCUAUUGCUGCUCUCUGUACUUUAUCUGGAGUUGGUUCUAAAGUUGCAGCAUGCGUAGCUCUCUUCUCUCUUGAUCAACAUCAUGCCAUUCCUGUUGAUACGCAUGUGUGGCAAAUUGCUACCAGGUAUCUUUUACCUGAGCUUGCUGGUGCACGACUGACGCCCAAGCUCUCUGGCCGAGUAGCGGAGGCUUUUGUGAGCAAGUAUGGGAAAUAUGCUGGUUGGGCUCAGACUAUGCUUUUCAUUGCUGAGUUACCUUCUCAAAAGGCCAUCAUACCAUCACAUUGUCUGACUAUCCAGGAAGAUGAAAAGGUCGAAAGGAUAGAUAAAGAAGCUUCUGUUGCUGAGUGAGGCUUUCACUAGAAAGGGAUGAUUAAUUGGGCUGUGUACCAAAUUGGGUUUGGCCAUGGUAAUUGCUCUGCUUGCCAAUUUGUUGAAUGAAGUAAGGCUAUGGAGAGUCAGAGACAAAUGCACACUUUGGGCUUUGAAGUCUGGAAGAAAACCCAGUGGAAGCGUGGCUGCUUGGAUAAUGCUCUCCGACAGACUUUGCUCUCAGUCGUCACUGCUUGGUUACACAUCUGGUGAUGCAGAUGCAGAUGCUAUUCUGGCUUCAUGAGCCUACAGAUAAUGUAAAAAACAAUUGUUGGCGUUAACAAAGUGAAAAAUUAGUAUGCUAUGAUUCCAUUUUGAGGCUCUUCUUGCAGUGAUUCCUGCAUCAUGGACAAUUCCUAAAAUAAUGGUGCAAGUAAAACGUAAUCUUGAAAAUUCAGGAAUCACUUACCUUUCCUAUUGUUGUUCUGUUGCCUGAAUGGUGUCUAUUGUAAUCCCAAGAGGGUUUCCGCUUUCUUCUUCUAGUAUGACUAACAGGUUGCCUUUUGGUUUAAGGAAAGAUCGAGGAAUGUGGUACCUGAGAAGAAAAUCUUCAUUAUUUAUUCUUUAUCAUUGAAGAGCAUUGUAAAUUGAUAUAUACGAAUUUUGUAUUUGAGAUGUUCAGUAACAUUGGGGAUGUUUGCUUCUUUA